rnacentral:rRNA from 1 species
AGUGAACGCUGGCGGUAGGCCUAACACAUGCAAGUCGAACGGCAGCACAGUAAGAGCUUGCUCUUACGGGUGGCGAGUGGCGGACGGGUGAGGAAUACAUCGGAAUCUACUUUUUCGUGGGGGAUAACGUAGGGAAACUUACGCUAAUACCGCAUACGACCUACGGGUGAAAGCAGGGGAUCUUCGGACCUUGCGCGAUUGAAUGAGCCGAUGUCGGAUUAGCUAGUUGGCGGGGUAAAGGCCCACCAAGGCGACGAUCCGUAGCCGGUCUGAGAGGAUGAUCAGCCACACUGGAACUGAGACACGGUCCAGACUCCUACGGGAGGCAGCAGUGGGGAAUAUUGGACAACGGGCGCAAGCCUGAUCCAGCCAUACCGCGUGGGUGAAGAAGGCCUUCGGGUUGUAAAGCCCUUUUGUUGGGAAAGAAAAGCAGCAGGUUAAUACCCCGCUGUUCUGACGGUACCCAAAGAAUAAGCACCGGCUAACUUCGUG